UAAGACGGAGGGCGCAAGCGUUGUUCGGAAUUACUGGGCGUAAAGGGCAGGUAGGUGGUCUGUUAAGUCUUCUGUGAAAAUCCGGGGCUCAACCCCGCGAAAUGCAGGUGAAACUGGCAGACUUGAGACCAGUAGAGGCUAGCGGAAUUCCUGGUGUAGCGGUGGAAUGCGUAGAUAUCAGGAAGAACACCUGUGGCGAAGGCGGCUAGCUGGGCUGGUUCUGACACUGAACUGCGAAAGCGUGGGGAGCAAACAGGAUUAGAUACCCUGGUAGUCCACGCCGUAAACGAUGUCAACUAGCCGUUGGGACUCUUGAAGUCUUAGUGGCGCAGCUAACGCACUAAGUUGACCGCCUGGGGAGUACGGCCGCAAGGUUA
rnacentral:rRNA from 1 species